UACGUAGGUGACAAGCGUUGUCCGGAUUUACUGGGCGUAAAGGGCGCGUAGGCGGCCAUCUAAGUCAGACGUGAAAUCCCCCGGCUUAACCUGGGAACUGCGUCUGAUACUGGGAGGCUUGAGUAUGGGAGAGGGAUGUAGAAUUCCAGGUGUAGCGGUGAAAUGCGUAGAUAUCUGGAGGAACACCGGUGGCGAAGGCGGCAUCCUGGACCAACACUGACGCUGAGGAGCGAAAGCCAGGGGAGCAAACGGG
rnacentral:rRNA from 1 species